rnacentral:rRNA from 1 species
AUUGAACGCUGGCGGAAUGCUUUACACAUGCAAGUCGAGCGGCAGCACGGGGCAACCUGGCGGCGCGCGGCGAACGGGUGAGUAAUACAUCGGAACGUACCCAGUUGUGGGGGAUAGCCCGGCGAAAGCCGGAUUAAUACCGCAUACGACCUGAGGGUGAAAGGGGGGGAUCGCAAGACCUCUCGCAGUUGGAGCGGCCGAUGACGGAUUAGCUAGUUGGUAGGGUAAAGGCCUACCAAGGCGAGGAUCCGUAGCUGGUCUGAGAGGACGACCCGCCACACUGGAACUGAGACACGGUCCAGACUCCUACGGGAGGCAGCAGUGGGGAAUGUUGGACAAUGGGGGCAACCCUGAUCCAGCCAUUCCGCGUGAGUGAAGAAGGCCUUCGGGUUGUAAAGCUCUUUCGGCAGGAACGAAACGGUCCUUUCUAAUAAAGAGGGCUAAUGACGGUACCUGAAGAAGCACCGGCUAACUACGUGCCAGCCGCCGCCGUAAAAC